rnacentral:rRNA from 1 species
AGAGUUUGAUCAUGGCUCAGAUUGAACGCUGGCGGCAUGCCUUACACAUGCAAGUCGAACGGCAGCAUGAUCUAGCUUGCUAGAUUGAUGGCGAGUGGCGAACGGGUGAGUAAUACAUCGGAACGUGCCCUGUAGUGGGGGAUAACUAGUCGAAAGAUUAGCUAAUACCGCAUACGACCUGAGGGUGAAAGUGGGGGACCGCAAGGCCUCAUGCUAUAGGAGCGGCCGAUGUCUGAUUAGCUAGUUGGUGAGGUAAAGGCUCACCAAGGCGACGAUCAGUAGCUGGUCUGAGAGGACGAUCAGCCACACUGGGACUGAGACACGGCCCAGACUCCUACGGGAGGCAGCAGUGGGGAAUUUUGGGCAAUGGGCGAAAGCCUGAUCCAGCAAUGGCCGCGUGUGUGAAGAAGGCCUUCGGGUUGUAAAGCACUUUUGUCCGGAAAGAAAUGGCUCUGGUUAAUACCUGGGGUCGAUGACGGUACCGGAAGAAUAAGGACCGGCUAACUACGUGCCAGCAGCCGCGGUAAUACGUAGGGUCCAAGCGUUAAUCGGAAUUACUGGGCGUAAAGCGUGCGCAGGCGGUUGUGCAAGACCGAUGUGAAAUCCCCGAGCUUAACUUGGGAAUUGCAUUGGUGACUGCACGGCUAGAGUGUGUCAGAGGGGGGUAGAAUUCCACGUGUAGCAGUGAAAUGCGUAGAGAUGUGGAGGAAUACCGAUGGCGAAGGCAGCCCCCUGGGAUAACACUGACGCUCAUGCACGAAAGCGUGGGGAGCAAACAGGAUUAGAUACCC